AUUUUAUUUUUCCUUAAUUAUUGAAGUAUACAUACAAUACUUUCUGUUUAAGGUAUUCUACUUUUGAGAUGAUAAAAUCAAUAAAGUGCUUCCUUGCUGAUUUGAUAAUUAGAAGCUUCAGUAUCAGCCGAAUCUUAAGCUUUGGUUUUGGCUCCAACUCGUGAGCUUGCACAACAAAUUGAGAAAGUUAUGCGGGCUCUUGGUGACCCUCUUGAUGUGAAGGUUCAUGCUUGUGUGGGUGGGACUUGUGUCCGUGAGGACCAAUGCAUCCUCUCAACUGGGGUCCACGUUGUUGUUGGUACACAUGGGCGUGUUUUUGACAUGCUUAGGAGGCAGUCGCUACGUGCUGAUUACAUCUAGAUGUUUGUGUUGGAUGAAGCUGAUGAAAUUCUUCCAAGAGGAUUCAAGGAUCAGUUCUAUACGGGUCGAAAUUGAUUUGGUGGAGGCUACAAAGGUUCUUCUUGGGACUGACUGUGAAUCGGGCCCUGGAAGGUGGAGGGCAAUGUCACAAGAAUAAACAUCUUGAAAUACACCGUGUUUCGUUGUUGCUAACAUAAGGAGAGACUACAAUAAAUGUGCAGAUGCAUGAACAAUAAGUGGCUUAGACAAGAGCUUCAACCUACUCUUAUGGGCCUGAUCCUCCACCCACCGCCACCUGUUUUUCGACACUUUCUUUCGUCAGAAUGCGAAUACACAACCUCCAGGAUAAUAGCUGAUUCAGGUCUUAAUUUUCUUGUAUGUACUUGGAAAGCAUUGACCAAAUGUAAUUGCUAUUGGUGGAAGCUUUCUUGGCCCAUUGUUCGUGCACACUGCUCUUCAAACAGAUCCAGAGGCUAGUAAAUUAGCAGGAGGACGGCAGCUUCGCUUAAUGUGAUCCCUUUUAGAGAGGUGUAUACAACCCCACUAUGAUGAAGCAGCGUAUAUGAACAUUAGGGAUAGAAAAGGUGAAAAGAGCGGUUAUAUUUCUCUUCAUUCGUGGGUGUCUUAGUGAGCAAAGUUGAACAUUAAAGGAACUACCUACACUUUUAUUGGCCACAGGCUGUUUCAAAGCACAUGGUUGCUUGCUGUUAGCACAAAUCUUAAGGUUUGAUCUUACUGUAGUACAUUCUUUUGGUUUGUUUUCUUCACUUGGCAUAUCUGGAUGUGGUUUCUAUUAUGUUUAUUCAGUCAUAAAUCCUUCAUUUAUAUAGUUAUAUAGAUGUAUUGUAAUUUGUAACUGAUUCUGGAGGUGCAAAGUAUUAGUAGAAUUUUUUA